rnacentral:antisense_RNA from 1 species
AGUUUAAUAGACUUGCAAACAUAGAGAAUUGAUAUACGCAAGAAGUCUCAAACAUUUUUUCUGUAUAGUAGAUAUGAGAUUAUGUUUCACAAUUCAAUCCUGCAAAUAACAAACACGCAAGUUAUAUUUUAUAAGAUACAAUCAGAUUUAGAAAAUGGUGGUUGCGACUGGACUCGAACCAGCGACCCCUACCA